ACAGCUGUGCAAAAAGGAACCAAGAAGGGAGUAGGGGGAGAAUGUGCUAAGAUUCAGGAAGGCGUUCAUCAAUACAGGCUUCAGUUUCUGGACAUAUAUGCCACUUAAGUAUUUCUCCCUUCUUCUCCAUCAUUCCAAUAGUAACAUUCCAGACUUAAUUCAGGUUUGCUUGGAAUGAGAGUUUAUCCUACUGCCUUCUAUAACAGAGAGAAGGUCUUAUGCUGUAAAAUUGUACUGAGGACUCUGGAUACUUCAGGUCUUUAAUUCUCCCCAAAGGGGUGUACUGCAUUUCCAGUUAAUGGGGUAGAGUGGGGUGGGGAAGAGCCACAAGAAAAGAAUUUAAUAUCCUGAGGCCGCAGCAUUUUAGUGACUCAAUAUUCACAGGAUUGUGGAAGCCCAGAACCAGGACCAUGCAUUUUCUGUAAAGGACAGAACAGCCAAGUGGUUGUGGAUUCAUUAAUUACAAUGUUUGGGAUGCUCUGAACUCAUUUCAUAAAUUAAGAAAAGUUUACAACGCUGAUUCCUUGAUAAAGAAUGGAAGAAAAUAUAGCUACUCUCCCGAAGACUAAUAAAAUUGCAACCACAAUAAUCACUGGCAAGUUCACAAGACAGCCAUCAACUUCCAGAUUACCACAGAGAGUCAUUCAAUGGAGACAUUGAAUCAGCCGUGCUGUCUCUUAAACAGUUCAGUGAGUCUGAUGACUGCUGUGUUCCUUAACUUUUAAGAGAUAGAUUUUUACUAACUUUUGAGAGCAUGAGAAAAAAACUGGUAGAGAGAUUUGAGGAGUUAGUGGCAUGGAACUGAGAGGCAGUGAAGGAACUGGCACUUCCUGUCUUACCUUUAAGCCUUCAUAUCAGAAUAACAGUCCUUGGCAAAGAAUCUUGAGUUAAUAUGUGAAUGGAAUAAGGAAUUAGGGGCCUUGAAAUGCAGCAAUACUGAGCACAACUCGAGUAUAUUUUAAUAAAGUAGAAGGAGGUAUGGGUGAUACAAUGAGAAAUUCCACAGUGAGGGCAGAAAGAGCCUCAGGCAAACAGCAGGUAAUGCAGGAGUUCAAGGGAUUAAUAAAUGAUGACUGCCUAUGGUCU